AUUGAACGCUGGCGGCAGGCCUAACACAUGCGAGUCGAGCGGCAGCGGGAAAGUAGCUUGCUACUUUUGCCGGCGAGCGGCGGACGGGUGAGUAAUGCCUGGGGAUCUGCCCAGUCGAGGGGGAUAACUACUGGAAACGGUAGCUAAUACCGCAUACGCCCUACGGGGGAAAGCAGGGGACCUUCGGGCCUUGCGCGAUUGGAUGAACCCAGGUGGGAUUAGCUAGUUGGUGAGGUAAUGGCUCACCAAGGCGACGAUCCCUGGCUGGUCUGGGAGGAUGAUCAGCCGCACUGGAACUGAGACACGGUCCAGACUCCUACGGGAGGCAGCAGUGGGGAAUAUUGCACAAUGGGGGAAACCCUGAUGCAGCCAUGCCGCGUGUGUGAAGAAGGCCUUCGGGUUGUAAAGCACUUUCAGCGAGGAGGAAAGGUUGGUAGCUAAUAACUGCCAGCUGUGACGUUACUCGCAGAAGAAGCACCGGCUAACUCCGUGCCAGCCGCCGCCGUAAGAC
rnacentral:rRNA from 1 species